UACGAAGGGGGGCUAGCGUUGCUCGGAAUCACUGGGCGUAAAGGGUGAGUAGGCGGGUCUUUAAGUCAGGGGUGAAAUCCUGGAGCUCAACUCCAGAACUGCCUUUGAUACUGAAGAUCUUGAGUUCGGGAGAGGUGAGUGGAACUGCGAGUGUAGAGGUGAAAUUCGUAGAUAUUCGCAAGAACACCAGUGGCGAAGGCGGCUCACUGGCCCGAUACUGACGCUGAGGCACGAAAGCGUGGGGAGCAAACAGG
rnacentral:rRNA from 1 species